rnacentral:rRNA from 1 species
GGUAGUAUGAUGGACAAACGAAAGUUCCCCUGUCUCUAUUUAGCCAAUGAAAAUUAAUCCUCAGGUGAAGAAGCCUGAAUUCUCUUAAAAGACAAAAAGACCCUAUUGAGCUUUAUUUUAAUAUUUAGACAAGUAUAAUAAAAAUAAAAUUUCCUCUUUUAUAUAAAUUUUGCUGGGGCAGCAAAGGAACAACCAAAAAUUCCUUUUUAUAAAGACCUAUUAGUCUAUCUACAUGAUCCAUAUUUAUGAUUCAAAAAACUAGCUACCAUAGGGAUAACAGGCUAAUUUUUCUCUAGAGCUCAAAUUGACAGAAAAGAUUGGCACCUCGA